ensembl:misc_RNA 7SK 7SK RNA
GGGUGUGAGAGAGAUCUGGCUGUGACAUCUGUCACUCCAUUGAUUGCCAGGGUUGAUUCAGCUGAUCAAUAGCUAGGCAGUUGUCCCCUUCCUCCCUCACUGCUCCAUGUACCAUGUACGUACCUCCAGAGUUGCAUGCUCCAUUGAAAUGGAUGACCUUCCCCGAACAGAGAUGAACCAGUCUUUGAUCUAGGGUAGCUGUGCUCCCCUACUAGAACCUCCAAACAAGCUCUCAAGAAAUUUCAGCCUAUAAGGAUUUGCAUGACUUGCAUAAGGUCAUAAAGAGGCAAUGAGGGAUGCUGUCCCUAAUU